GAGAUCCUUUCAAGUCAUCAAAAGGUUACACUAUCAUUAGCUCUCCAUGGGGUGUUAUUGUAUUGUUUGUAGCACAUUUGUUAACAGGUAUAAAGUUCUGUUCUCAGAGUACUUUGGGUUAAGAUUCUAUGAAGGAUGACAUGAUAACAUCAAUGCUGAAGAACUGCUACACUGCUACCUUCAAUAAAUUCUUAUCCCGACAAGAACUUUGGUCAAGCUUACUUAUUUUAUGUAUUAGAGAAAUCUAGUACAUUGGCGAGCCACCCAAACUACUGCUCAGCCAAAUGCGGCAAAAUCUAACAAUUUGGCGGAGCCAGCCAGGAGAGACUGACAAGAAGAGAACUCACCAACUUCAACAAGAAGUGAACAGAAGAGUUUUGGAGAUUCUACAGUUCUUGUGUUGAAGAUCAACAGACCGCGUCUGUGGACAUAAGUUAUUUGAAUCAACUUGAUCCUGUCUCAAAGAUUCUAAUUUGGUAAGUGAAACUAUCAGCCCUCUAAAAGAACUUACUUAAAAGAAUGAAAACUUUUUCGUAGGCAGAUCAUUUGAUGUAUAUAGUGUGACCAUAAUAACCAGUGUAGCACUGUUUAAGAAUUUUUGGUUUAGGCCUUUCUCUUGACUCUGUAGGAGCCUUUUAAAUGAUUUAGUUAAUUGUCUUGAGAAUGUAGGAGCUAUAGAAAAAGUGUUUAUAGCUUGGUCCUGUUCUCGAGUCUGUUAGAAUCAUCUAAGAAAGAGGUUUAGUCCGUUCUCAUGAGACUGUAGGAGCCACAGAUGUGUAAUUAUAGGCUUAGUCCUGUUCUCUGGAGUCUGUAAGAAUUGUUUAAGAAACAAUUUAGUCUGUUCAUCAAGAGACUGUAGCUUCUACAGCUUGGUCCUUUCUCUUUAUGUCUGUAGGAAUUGUUCAAGAAACAAUUUAGUCCUUUCAUAAAGAGAUUGUAGAAGCAGAGGCUUGGUCCAUUCUGUUUUUGUCUGUAGGAAUUGUGUGAAAGAAACAAUUUAGUCCAGUAAUCAAGAGAUUGUAGAAGCAAGGGCUUGGUAUUUUCUCUUUGUAUCUGUAGGAAUUGUUUAAGAAACAA